UCGAGAAUUUUUCACAAUGGGCGCAAGCCUGAUGGAGCGACGCCGCGUGGGGGAUGAAGGGCUUCGGCUCGUAAACCCCUGUCAGUUGCGAACAAGGUCCAUUUGAUAACACCAGAUGGAUUGAUAGUAGUGACAGAGGAAGGGACGGCUAACUCUGUGCCAGCAGCCGUGGUAAUACAGAGGUCCCGAGCGUUGUUCGGAUUCACUGGGCGUAAAGGGUGCGUAGGCGGUUCUGAAAGUCUGAUGUGAAAUCUCCAGGCCCAACCUGGAAACGGCAUUAGAAACUACAGGGCUAGAGGCUUGGAGGGGGAACUGGAAUUCUCGGUGUAGCAGUGAAAUGCGUAGAGAUCGAGAGGAACACCAGUGGCGAAGGCGAGUUCCUGGACAAGACCUGACGCUGAGGCACGAAAGCCAGGGGAGCAAACAGGAUUAGAUACCCUGGUAGUCCUGGCUGUAAACGGUGCACGUUGCUGUGAGA
rnacentral:rRNA from 1 species